rnacentral:rRNA from 1 species
GACGUAGGGUCCGAGCGUUGUCCGGAACUACUGGGCGUAAAGGGCGCGCAGGCGGCGCAUUUUGUCAGGCGUGAAAGCCCCGGGCUUAACCUGGGAACUGCGUCGGAUACUGGAUGGCUUGAAUUCGGGAGAGGGAUGCAGAAUUCCAGGUGUAGCGGUGAAAUGCGUAGAUAUCUGGAGGAAUACCGGUGGCGAAGGCGGCAUCCUGGACCGACAUUGACGCUGAACGGCGAAAGCUAGGGGAGCAAACGGG